rnacentral:rRNA from 1 species
GACGAACGCUGGCGGCGUGCUUAACACAUGCAAGUCGAACGGAAAGGCCCUGCUUUUGUGGGGGGCUCGAGUGGCGAACGGGUGAGUAACACGUGAGUAACCUGCCCUUGACUUUGGGAUAACUUCAGGAAACUGGGGCUAAUACCGGAUAGGAGCUCCUGCUGCAUGGUGGGGGUUGGAAAGUUUCGGCGGUUGGGGAUGGACUCGCGGCUUAUCAGCUUGUUGGUGGGGGAGUGGCUUACCAAGGCUGUGACGGGUAGCCGGCCUGAGAGGGUGACCGGCCACAUUGGGACUGAGAUACGGCCCAGACUCCUACGGGAGGAAGCAGUGGGGAAUAUUGCACAAUGGGCGGAAGCCUGAUGCAGCAACGCCGCGUGCGGGAUGACGGCCUUCGGGUUGUAAACCGCUUUCGCCUGUGACGAAGCGUGAGUGACGGUAAUGGGUAAAGAAGCACCGGCUAACUACGUG